rnacentral:rRNA from 1 species
UACGUAGGGUCCAAGCGUUAAUCGGAAUUACUGGGCGUAAAGCGUGCGCAGGCGGUUCUGAAAGUCAGCUGUGAAAGCCCCGGGCUUAACCUGGGAAUUGCGGUUGAAACUACAGGGCUAGAAUCUGGCAGAGGGGGGUGGAAUUCCACGUGUAGCAGUGAAAUGCGUAGAGAUGUGGAGGAACACCGAUGGCGAAGGCAGCCUCCUGGGCCAGCACUGACGCUCAUGCACGAAAGCCAGGGAGCAAACGGG